AUUGAACGCUGGCGGCAUGCUUUACACAUGCAAGUCGAACGGUAACAGGUUAAGCUGACGAGUGGCGAACGGGUGAGUAAUGCAUCGGAACGUGCCCGGUCGUGGGGGAUAACGCAGCGAAAGCUGCGCUAAUACCGCAUACGAUCUGAGGAUGAAAGCGGGGGACCGUAAGGCCUCGCGCGAUCGGAGCGGCCGAUGUCAGAUUAGGUAGUUGGUGGGGUAAAGGCUCACCAAGCCGACGAUCUGUAGCUGGUCUGAGAGGACGACCAGCCACACUGGGACUGAGACACGGACCCGACUCCUACGGGAGGCAGCAGUAAGGAAUAUUGGACAAUGGUCGGAAGACUGAUCCAGCCAUGCCGCGUGAAGGAUGAAGGCGCUCAGCGUUGUAAACUUCUUUUGUACGGGAACAAAAUGCGACCUGCGGGUUGUACUGAGGGUACCGUAAGAAUAAGCACCGGCUAACUCCGUG
rnacentral:rRNA from 1 species